CACUGAUCUCAUAGUCCACAAUGGACACAACGUCAGUACUAACCAUACAGUUACCACACAGAGGUCUCACUUAAGGCGACGAGCGAAUGCGAAAAAUUUCGCGCGAAAACCACAGAGCUCAGUGGCGAAAACACACUUGUGCGAAAAUUUUCUCUCGUAGUGAUUUCCACAGAAGAAAAAAAAAUCGCCAAACACAUUUCGCUAUUUUGUCAUCCAAAACACAAGCAUUUGAUUGGCUUCGCUAUUUCCAUUUCGCAACGGAGUACUCUGUAGAAACCAAUUCACUUAUUCACCAAUAGCGACGCCAUCUUGAAUCAUGAUGCAUUAUGGGUUAUCCAGGGUAAAAAUCCGAAUUCAAAAGCCUUUAAUGUCGUAUUGAGACACAAUACGGUAAUUUU